CCUUCAGAGACCCGAGGCCAGUG
rnacentral:misc_RNA from 1 species